GAGCAAAGGGGGAAGGUGAUGUCCCGAGAGGUCCCAGGACGUCCCUCCUGCACGUCCCUCCCAGGCUCUGAGAGGUGGCGCUGGGCAGAGGAGACAGCGCCAAUGGCCCUUCCUGGUACAGAGGCCUCUCUGUGCCGCUCUGUCCCGUCCAGAUAUUUCACAGGAUCCAAGGGGAGGACGCCCCCUCGCUCCCUGCCAUGGAGAACCAUAUGGAACAAUCUGGAGAACUCAUGUAGCAGCAUUUCCAUGAGCCACGGUGACAGUGACCAGAGACCCUGGCUGUUUCCUUACUCCUGAUCUGGUGUUCUUGAUCCGGCCGGAAGGCACACCUGCCACCUCGCACAGCGUCCUCAGGGUGCAGCGGCCUGCCCACAAGCCUACAGGUGCAGCCUGCGUGCGCUCCGGGAAGCCAGGCCAGGCGCCUCACCUCCUGCGUCCGCCUGGACCGUCAGUGAACAGCGGCCAGGGGCGGCUUGGGAGCAGUGGCCCAGCUCACGAGGGUAACAGUACGGGCCUGUGAAGACUGUGGGCACUGACACCCUGAGCUGGAGUCGGGCCCGUCACCUAAUGGCCGAGGGCUGACCAGCAAGGUACUGACCUGCAAGAUGGGACGACACCUGCUUCCUAUUCGGGACACACCUACCAUGUGUCAAGUGCUGCUUUAAGACUUGGCGAUCUGGUGCGUUAACUUUUGCUGUCACGAAGCCAACACUUCACCAGGGACGACGGACAUGGGAAGACCAGCCACUUAUUCCCUUUGUGCUUCCCAUCUUUGAGACCUCGCAGCACCAUGGCCGGCACUUCAGUUCGCCUUUCCUAUCGGAUGCAGUGCUUUCAAGGUAAGCUUUACUGAAGAGAGAUGUAAAUAAGAAGAGCCUCGGGGGACCAGCAGUUAGCGUAAUGGCUAUGUCGCUGGACUCCCAUGUAGUCGACCACGGUUCGAGUC